GCCUGGGUGGCUCAGUCGGUUAAGCAUCUGACUUCAACUCAGGUCAUGAUCCCAAGGUUUGUGAGUUCAAGACCCACCUAGGGUU
rnacentral:tRNA from 1 species